CAGCUGUGCAUGCAAGAAUGAAAAAGCUCCAUGAGAGAAGAAGGUGAAGGAACCUAAAUUAAUGAAAAAAAAGGUACGGGUUCUCAAGGAAACAUUACCAGUGAAAUCUGUAGCAAGUUUUCCAUUGCAGAAUCUUCCAGUUGGCCUGUGAUUAACAAAAUCUCUUCCAUAUGGUGGAAAGUUUGAUUUGAUAAGUGUGUUGAGAUUGUUGUUAUUCCCCACAUCAACAACCGAGUCCCCAAAGAUGAUGAGUGCAGGAACAAGGGGAUCUCCAUGAGCCACUGAAGAAACCGAAACCAGCACAAGAACCAAGGUAGCCAAAAACUCACUUGAAGCUCUCAUUUUCCUUUUCUCUUUUGCUCUUUGACUUAACUGUAAACCUCACAAUGCAUGUAUACUAGAGAAAGAGAGAGAGGUGUAAAAGAGAAGUGAAUGGGGUGAAAGAAGGGGCAGGUGAAGGAGAAUUUAAGGAGAAAAAGCCAUAGGUGAAAGUUAUGGUCAAACUGAAACAAAUGUCUUUAUGAGAAUGGUUCCAUUAAAGGUGCUUAUUUCUAGGAGAAAGAGGCAUGUUAGGCUUUUAAAAACAAAGUGACAAUCAUUUUGUAUGUGUUCUAAAUUUUUUUUCUUUAGGUGACAUUAGAAUCAGUUAAAAAGUUCUAUUUACUUUUUCGAAAAAGAGUUUUGGUUGUUGCCCCUUCGGUGUGCAUCCACACAUUUUGCAUAACGUUCAAGAGUUGGCGUGUCUUCAACAAAUUUUGCCAUUUUUGUUCAACUAGCAUGAUCACAUCGGCCAUCCCAAACAAAUCAAUUUGUUUCUUGAAGUACUCUGUGUCUCACACUUGUCUCCGUAGUAUAUCCUGAUCCCAAAGACCCCAAAUACAUG
rnacentral:lncRNA from 1 species